GCCAGAGGCUACAGAAAUCGAGUCGGUCUGUGCCAUGAUUCAUAGGUGUUAUGAGUUUGUGGUGUCUAAUACUAUAUUAAGCUCCAAAACACAUCCUCACAUGAACACAAUAUCAUUGGUUAAUCUAAUAAAACAUGGUUUGAGUUGUUCGUUAUUAUAAGGGUGGGUAUGUGCCUACUUCCCAACUGGUAAUGCAUGUGCUCAAUGGUGAACAUUUAUAUAAGCAAUAAAAUGUUAAUG